CCGGCCUGUAGCAUGGGCAGUUGCCUAUGGCACAAAAUGACUGGGGGGUGCCGCAGGAAAGGAUUUUUUUUUUUUUUUGGCCCUCUUGUGACCAUGCUCCUACAUCCAUAUAUUAAAGGGGUCAUAUGAUAUUCCUAAAAAGAGCUUUAUUUUGUGUAUUUGGUGUAAUGAAAUGUUUAUGCGGUUUAAGGUUUACAUUAUUUUCCACAUACUGUACAUUAAUGUUUCUCCUCUAUGCCCCGCCUUUCUGAAACGCAUCGAUUUUUACAAAGCUCAUCGUUCUGAAAAGCUAGGUGUGCUCUGAUUGGCCAGCUAUCCAGUGUGUUGUGAUUGGCCAAAUUCCGCAAGCAUGUGACGGAAAUGUUACUCUUAACUUUUAUAAAGAAUAUAUCUUUGGAUUUGAGACUUUAGUCUUUGCAACUUUACAGAUCUUCUUUAUUCACCAAGAGCUUGUAACACUCCAAAGAGAAAGGAAAAAUCUGAAAUCGCAUCAUAUGACCCCUUUAAGCAAAAUUAUUUCUGACAAUAAUUAACAUAAUUUUAGUACUGAUCGAUCAUCAAACUGAUUAAAAUAAUGUUAGAAUAAAAUAAAAUUUACAUCAACGAAAAAUCAUAAGGGUAACACUUUACAAUAAGGUUCCAUUAGUUAACAUUAGUUAACUCAAAAAUCUCAAAAAUCUCGCCUAGGGCACCAACAGAGCCUGGGCCGGCCCUGUAUAGUAGUCAACAUUUGAAGUGGCUCAAAAAAUUCAUCAAAGUUGUCCUAAGACAAGAACGCAUUUGGGUUUUAGGACAACUUUGAUGAAAAAAAAAUCCAUCUUUCAUCACAUCGCUGUGUUUUGAUGCCUACAUUUAGUUGUAGCAUUUAAAGUAUUUAUUUAUUUAUUUAUUUAAAUGAAAUAGAUUUUGAUAUGGCUAUUUAUCAGUUAUCAGCCAUUAGAUUAAAGGGUUAGUUCACCCCAAAAUGAAAAUGAUGUCAUUAAUUACUCACCCUCAUGUCGUUCCAAAGCCGUAAGAACUUUGUUCAUCUUCGGAACAUAAAGUAAGAUAUUUUUGAUGAAAUCUGAACUGAAAUGUUCUCAGGUCCAGAAACAUAGUUAAUACAUUGGUAAAACAGUCCAUGUGACAUUAGUUGCUCAACUUCAGUUUUGUGAUGCUACAAGAAUACUUUUUUUUUUUUGCGCAAAGAAAACAAAAAUAACAAUUUACUCAACCAUUCUUCUCCCCCAAGUUACGUCUCCUGCUAUUUUAGAGAUUAUUACAGUGCAUACGCACGCUUUCCUCUAAACAUAAACAACACUUAUAACGCAUAUUACGUUCAUGCGCGUGCUUUCCACCCAAACGUAAACAACGCUGAUUAUGUCCAAUACGUUCUUGGGUACUCUCCAAAAUGGCGGAAGACAACUCGGGGGAGAAGAAAGGUUGAGUAAAUUAUGUUAUUUUUGUUUUCUUUGCUCAAAAAAAAGUUGAGUCACUGAUGUCACGUGGACUGUUUUACCGAUGUGUUUACUACGUUUCUGGACCUGGGAACAUUUCAGUUGCGAUGCUGUCUAUGGAGCUCUCAGAUUUCAUCAAAAAUAAAUGAAUUCGUGCUCCGAACAUGAACAAAUGUUUUACGGGUUUGGAAUGACAUGAGGGUGAGUUUUCAUUUUGGGGUGAACUAAUCCUUUAAAAUAAUUACUGGCUUAACUGUGAAUGACAGAUUUUUGAUAUCUGUGCACCCCCAAUUAGACCAACUUUUCAUAAUCACAUCAUAAUUUGUCGGUGUCUACAGACAAAUAAGUGGUUAUGCUUGGUUUACAGCUGUAGUGGUCUUCAUAACAGUCUCAUAGGAUGGUGGCGGCUCCAUUUGCCAGGGGGGAGGGGUUGCAGGUUGGCUCUGUGGACUGGUGUCUGAGGUGGGAGGCACUUGGACUGAACUGUGCUGCUCUGCCGUAGCCCU
ensembl:lncRNA